CCACCCCCGCCACCCCUGUCCCUACACUCCACUGUCAAGGAGGUCAUAUCUGGGCCUGAAGAUGCCAUCGUAGCACAUUACGAAGCAGGCCACUAUCGCCUUCUGUGGAGUCAGUGGUAAAACACCUCCUACCACAUACACCAGUGGCUGAAACCUCUUCCUCCCUGAUGCAAAUGCAUCAUGUGAUCGCCUCGCUGGAAAAUUCCAGGAUCCAAACCAUCCCACAGUUCCCCUCAGCAUCCCACGUACACCCUGGUGCCUCGGCAGGCUGCUGUGGUUUCUAAGAUGGCAGAACAAGGUGGCCCAUCCCUUACUGGCUCUGUGAACUCCCGUGGCAUGCAGACUUCUGCACUUCAUCAGAAUCAGCAUUUUACCAAACACAGAAAAUAACACUGACUUCAAAGCACCACUGGAGAUGAAUUAACACAAGGAAGAAACUGAGAGUCGGAAAGUUCCCGAGGGGAGCUAAUCCGCCCGGGUCUGUCUCACGGGAAAGGCCCUGGCCCCAUGGUGCUUGGUCAGAGGACACCCGAAGUCACCAUGGUAUACUAGGCUUGGUCCUCUUUCUUCCCUCCCCGGCGCGUAGACGAAACCGCUUCAGUCUGCCUCUCUCAAGCACGGCUCGAUUCCUUCUGAGGAGUCCAGGCCUGGGAGGAGGAAGCUGCUAUGUGGGCCCCUCCUACCCCUAAUACCAUCUUCUCUGCUCUCCCAGAAGUAAAUUCUUCCUGCUUCUGGGCUCA